UGUUAACACAGACACAGAUUUCUUUUAGAAGUCUUAUUGUUCUGUGGAAUUGUUAUAAUAUUAAAGUCAAAAUCAUUAUAUACUUCAUAAAUGCCUUGCUACAGUAUCACAUAUGAUGCGUGAUGGCGGCACAUUUCUAAAGGGUGAAAUAAAUGAAUACAUGCCUUAUUCAUGAAUACACAGUUGAAACAUAAAUUGCAGUAUGUUUCCAGAGAGAAAGCUGGUAAUAUUCAUAUUUGGACUAACACCAAGAAACUGGCUAAGGAAUAUUUAGAUUAAAAAAAAAUACAUUCUUGAUAGACUCUCGUGUACGCUUGUAAUCUAUAUCUGUCUUACCAGGAGUCCCCUCGUUAGCUCUCCAGGUAGGCAUGAAUAAAGGACCUCUCCCACAAAUGUCCAAGUGCUUGCAAUAAGAACUGUAUUCUGUAGCAAAAAAUGCUACCAGUAAUAAAUCUAACAGAAUAAUAUACAUUAUUUGUAUUGUUCUACAGAAAAGCCAGAGGCAAAAAACACGGGGGAUGCCCAAGAAAAG